UACGGAGGGUGCAAGCGUUAUCCGGAUUCACUGGGUUUAAAGGGUGCGUAGGUGGGUUGGUAAGUCCGUGGUGAAAUCUCCGAGCUUAACUCGGAAACUGCCGUGGAUACUAUCAAUCUUGAAUACUGUGGAGGUAAGCGGAAUAUGUCAUGUAGCGGUGAAAUGCUUGGAUAUGACAUAGAACACCGAUAGCGAAGGCAGCUUGCUACACAGUCAUUGACACUGAGGCACGAAAGCGUGGGGAGCAAACAGG
rnacentral:rRNA from 1 species